rnacentral:ncRNA from 1 species
UACCUGGUUGAUCCUGCCAGGAGCAUAUGCUUGUCUCAAAGAUUAAGCCAUGCAUGUCUAAGUACGCACGGCCGGUACAGUGAAACUGCAAAUGGCUCAUUAAAUCAGUUAUGGUUCCUUUGGUCGCUCACUCCUCUCCAAGGGGUGAAAUUCCACACAUAAUUCCACCAACAACAAC